rnacentral:lncRNA from 1 species
UGCUCGUGCUUCUGUGUCUGAUGAGCCAGUCAGCACCUCAUGCCCUGCCCUGAACAGGGCCUGCCAGGCAGUAACAGUGCCCACCUGCAGCUCCUCCACCAUCAGCCUUGGGCAGGGCUCAUUUCUGAGGGCCUUUCUGAGGUGCUGCAUCCAUUACCUUUGUCUUCUUGUUGCUUCCACGCAACACAGUGUGUAAAAUUCAUUGCCUUUUGCCGAUGGUGACCGGUGCCCCUCAGCAGAGCCAGCAUAGGAGGAACACACAGGUUACACACGUGUGUUGCCCCUCAGUGCACAUCCCAGGCCAGAUUUAUGCUGCAGCUUUGCUGUCAGUGAAAGGAAUGGGAAUUCUGCCAUUGGAGAGGAUGCUGGUGCGUAUUGUAUUUAAUCAAUCUAGAAAUAGCAGAAAGCAAUUAUUCACCCUGCCUCUGCUUAUUUGUGUUUCCUGUACUCUUUGUCUUUCUAGCAGAGAUAAUUUAAUUAAAGAACAAAGAGUAUUUUAAACCCAGUGUGCUUGAAGAGUGUUUUAGGCUGUAUAAGCAUUUGCAUUUCUGAUUUAACUUGUUCUAAUUGUCUACCUGGCAAAUGUCAAAGGGGCUGGGUUUGCAGGUAGAUUAGCACUCUAUCCAAUGGUAAGCAAUGUGAGAAGACACUCAUAGCCACUAUGUUCCCUUUCUUUCUUCUAAAUGUAUACAUAUGUAUAGAUACAUAUAUAUGACCAUGUGUUCAGUAUAUGCCUAUGUACAUUGAUGGCAGCUUAAAAUCCACCAGAAACAUAUGGAGUAAGAAGUUUUUCCUUUUUCAGUAUGUUAAUGUUAAUGGAAACUCACUGAAAAAAAAAAAAAAAAAAAAACUAGAAAAAAUUUUAUUGUAGUUUUAUUACUUAAUAUUAAGGAUUUUAAUGAGAUUUCACAGUUGGAUAUGUAAAAUAAUUGGAUUGCAUCUAAUUUCUGUGAUUGAUUAAAAUGUAAAAAGCUUUUUCUGGCUUAGUUUUAGGGAAUUAUAUUCUAGCAUCACGUGUUAUAUAGUGAUGAAGUUGCAUCAAAAACAUUUAGGCUUUUGAUAUAUGGAUUAUUUAAUGCUACCAGUAUGUGUGUUUCAGGUGCAACUCUAUGACAUAGAUUUAAAGACAGAUACAUGUACUACAUUGUGAGUACAAUAUAACACUGAUCUUUAAAUAUCUGUGUAGUUUUGGCAAACAGCAAAUCACAUCACGUUUGUGGCCUUAUGCAGCAUCAGGUGGAGCCAUGGCACCAGAAGUUGUUUCCAUCCAUUCUGGACUUCAUUCCAGAGAAUGGAACAGAGAAUUUUGGUCUCUGUGGAACCACUGGAAGUACCACUUGAUCAGAAUUUGAUCUCCCCAUAAAUGGAACUUUGACAAAAAAGGCUUCUAAAUGUAUAGAACCUUAUCAAAGGCGCACGGGUAUUCCCUAUUAUUGAUGUGUGUUUUUUUGGUGUGUGUUUUUGUUUGUUUGUUUUGUCAGGGAAAUUAUUUCUGUUUCU